UACAGAGGGGGCGAGCGUUGUUCGGAAUUACUGGGCGUAAAGGGCGCGUAGGCGGCCAACUAAGUCGGACGUGAAAUCCCCAGGCUCAACUUGGGAACUGCGUCCGAUACUGGAUGGCUUGAAUCCGGGAGAGGGAUGCAGAAUUCCAGGUGUAGCGGUGAAAUGCGUAGAUAUCUGGAGGAAUACCGGUGGCGAAGGCGGCAUCCUGGACCGGCAUUGACGCUGAGGAGCGAAAAGCUAGGGGAGCAAACGGG
rnacentral:rRNA from 1 species